rnacentral:rRNA from 1 species
AGAGUUUGAUCCUGGCUCAGAAUCAACGCUGGCGGCGCGCUUAACACAUGCAAGUCGAACGAGAAAGGGUAGCAAUACCUGAGUAAAGUGGCGUACGGGUGAGUAACACGUGGAUAUCCACCUCUUAGUGGGGAAUAACUUUGGGAAACCGAAGCUAAUACCGCAUAAGUCCGAGAGGAGAAAGCAGCAAUGCGCUGAGAGAGGAGUCCGCGGCUGAUUAGCUAGUUGGUAGGGUAAUGGCCUACCAAGGCGACGAUCGGUAGCCGGCCUGAGAGGGCACACGGCCACACUGGCACUGAGACACGGGCCAGACUCCUACGGGAGGCAGCAGUGGGGAAUCUUGCACAAUGGGGGAAACCCUGAUGCAGCGACGCCGCGUGAGUGAUGACGCCCUUCGGGGUGUAAAGCUCUUUCGACGGGAACGAUAAUGACGGUACCCGGAGAAGAAGCUGCGGCUAACUACGUGCCAGCAGCCGCGGUAAUACGUAGGCAGCAAGCGUUGUUCGGAAUUACUGGGCGUAAAGAGUAUGUAGGUGGUUUGCUAAGUCCGAUGUGAAAUCUCCCGGCUUAACUGGGAGGGUGCGUUAGAUACUGGCAGGCUUGAGUGUGGGAGAGGAGAGCGGAAUUCCUGGUGUAGCGGUGAAAUGCGUAGAUAUCAGGAGGAACGCCUGUGGUGUAGACGGCUCUCUGGACCAUUACUGACACUGAGAUACGAAAGCGUGGGUAGCAAACAGGAUUAGAUACCCUGGUAGUCCACGCCCUAAACGAUGCACACUUGGUGUGGGCAGUUCAGUCUGUCC